UACGGCUCCUCAUCCUCUAAUCACUGAUUAGAACACUUGUAGUAACGCUUCCGCGGCUACAUCACGCACGAAUUUUUUAAAGAGAACCAAAAAGCGCGCCCUCUUUCUAGUUAUCUCUCAGCCCUACAGUUGGUACCUUUGAAUUCGCCAUUACGUUUUUCGUGCGCUGCGAUCACGCUUGUUACGGACCAAGUUUCUCGUAGAAAUUUGGAAAAUUCACGUUUGUAUUAAUUAAUUUGUAACCUUUUUACCUCCUUUAUGGGCUAGGUAAUGGGGAAACAUAAACGAAGCCAUUCCCGUUCCUCGUCGCCACGGGACAAACACGUUUCUCGACGGGAGCUGAUGAAGCGUCUGGAAACGUUGGAACGUUUGAUGAGCCGGCGGUAUUCAAGGUCGCGCUCAGGUUUUUCUGAUAACAGAUCUCGGUCGCCGCGUAGUCCUCAGGAUACGCGAAUGACGACUCCCUCAGGGAGUAUUUUUCAUGGUACUGAUCGAGGCAGCCCGGCAAGGAGUGCUCUCGUUUCUCCUAGUAGCCCUAGUGCUCUUGUGAUUCAUAACGAUGAGGAAUUACCCGAGGAAAUACUGGAGUGUUUGGGCGAAGACCCGUCAAAAUUACCAGUAACUCAUAUCACAGUUCCUUCUAGUGUUGUAACACGCUGGACGCACGUGAUGUUUAAUGGUUUGCCAAAAGAGGACAAAGGUCAGUUAUUAAAAUUAUAUCAGCCUCCCGCAAACGGCGGUUUUAAGCCUCCACUUCUUAAUACAGAAGUUGAAGCAAUUUUACCAACAACCUCGGUUAAAAAAGACAGAUACCAAGUUGCUUCGCAAACACAGAUGUUAGCGAGCUUAGGAGCCCACUCAGAGGCUUUAAAAUUAAUAGCUUCGUGUACCACUGAGUUACCCGAACCAUUUAAAAAACAACUGGGUAAAUUACUUUCCGAUUCGGCAAAUCUUAUUUCGGACCUCGUUUUUACGACGUCUCAAACAAGGAGACAUCUUUUGUUUCCUCUUCUUUCAAAACAGGUCAAGGAAUUAACACUUAAAGUUCCGCCCAGGGAAUUUCUCUUUGGAGCAAAUAUGGCAGACGAAUUACGUACGGCAAAAUCAGCAGAAAGGUUAGCAAAAGACCUGAAAGCUCCUUGCUCCACAUCGCAAAACCAGCAUAGGUUUUCAAAAAGUGAGGGGAGGGUAAAACAAUCCCAACCCCAACGCACACUAGGAUAUCAUAAUAAAAACACAAGUCGUAGUGCUUUAAACCGAAGAAGCCCGACUCGUCCACAGAGAGUAGGACAAAAGUCAACAGGGCGCUACUCUCAGAAAACGUACAAAAAGUAGUCCAGACAAACCCAUCCACUGGCAGAUUCCCUUACGUUGAUGGCAGGGAUUGUCUCCGGAAAGCGUAUCAACAAAGAGGUCUCCCAGAAGAAGCAGUAGAUACGAUGAUUAGGUCGAUAUCUCACACAACACUCAGACAGUAUCAAACCACAUAUAAACUUUGGUGGGACUACUGUACACAAACCAACACAGACUAUUUCAAUGCAACACCACAUCAAGUUAUCCAAUUUUUACAACAGCUUUUAGUUACAAAGUCCCAUAACUACGGAACUUUUAAUUCGCAUAGAUCUGCCUUAUCUUUAUUGUUAUCAGGAAACAUAGGCAACGAUAGUGAUCUAAAACGAUAUCUUAAGGGAAUAAUGAGGUUAAGACCAACGAAGCCAAAAUAUUCAACAACCUGGGAUCCUGCUCCAGUAGUAAAAUAUCUGCAGGCCUUAUUUCCUUAUGAUAGAUUGAGUUUAGAAACUCUUACAUCCAAAGUAGUCACACUUUUAGCUCUCAUUUCAGCCCAUAGGGUCCAGACCUUAAGUCUCAUUCAAUUGUCCAAUAUACAAAUAUCAGAAUCAGGCAUCACUAUCAAAAUUACAGAAUCCACAAAAUAAGUUUACGAACAGGAAUUUAUCCAGUUAUGAAAUAUAAAUACUUUACAGCUCAGCCCGAAUCAUGCAUUGUUUUGGCGAUCCAAGCCUAUAUCAAUAGGACCGAAGAGUUACGCAACUCGGAGGAUUUCCUAUUUAUUACAACGAAGAAGCCGUUUAAGAAAGCAAGCACAAACACUAUUAGCAGAUGGAUAAAGAACACCCUGCAUGAAGCGGGCGUUGACACUUCUGUUUUUAGUGGACACUCUACUCGUCAUGCUGCAACCUCUGCAGCUGUCCGCAAGGGCAUUUCAGUAGAGAUCAUUCGUCAAAAUGUUGGUUGGACAGCAACGUCUCGUGUUUUUGAAACUUUCUACAAUCGCCCCUUAUCAACAGGGGACAACAUUUGUAAUGCUAUCCUGUCCUGAGACAUUCAGGCCAAUAGCAUCUUUUUCGAUUUAAUCGAAUUUGUUCUUUACAAUAAUAAGCAAUAAACAGCUUUAAACAUCUACAA